rnacentral:rRNA from 1 species
UACGUAGGUGGCAAGCGUUGUCCGGAUUUACUGGGUGUAAAGGGCGUGCAGCCGGGAGUGCAAGUCAGAUGUGAAAUCCCGCGGCUCAACCGCGGAACUGCAUUUGAAACUGUGCUUCUUGAGUGCUGGAGAGGCAGACGGAAUUCCUAGUGUAGCGGUGAAAUGCGUAGAUAUUAGGAGGAACACCAGUGGCGAAGGCGGUCUGCUGGACAGUAACUGACGGUGAGGUGCGAAAGCGUGGGGAGCAAACAGG